ensembl:lncRNA
AUUUGUAUUUAGCUCUGUAUAAGAUCCAAAGCACAGAUCACAGCCUGCUGUUAAAGAGGAAAACGUCAUGGUUUAGGCUGAAUAUAUAGUCAGCAGUGUUAUUUUCAUAAUGUGCUUUUGUCAUUUUUAGUGUUUUUAUAAACAUUUUUAUUUAGCUUUCAUUUAUUUAUUUAGUUUCAGUUUUAGACAAUUUAGCAGAUGCCAAUGCAGCAUUUUUAAUUUUCAUUGACUAAGUUUUACUAGUUUAUACCUUAAACUAGCUUGAGUUUUAGUUAACAAUAACAACACUGGUAGUAAAUAAUCACGUAUUUCCGAGUCCUUAUGUGAGCUACUGAAGGAAAGGGAGUCUCAGAGGAGGAUGAUGAAAAGGUGAGUGCAGUUCAGCUCACAGCCACUAGAGGACACUGAGAGUCUGCUGGAUCAGACACUCAUGAUCGUGUGUCAGGACCAGUUAUUCUUACAUGUUUGUUUGUUUGUUUGUUUGUUGUAAUGAUUCUCUAUCUCUCUGUGGUUGCAGUAUGUUGAAGUGGAUGCUGUUGGUGGUGUGUGUGAGUGUGUGUUUGGGUCAGAAUCCGAUCAACACUGACCCAGCAGAAGAAACUGAAUCGACCUCUGAUCAGCACGACCAGGUUACACUCAAACAGACCUGUAAGACAACACACACACACACACACACACACACACACACACACACACACACACACACACACACAAACACACACAAACAAACACAACAGUUGAUUAUGAUGCCAACUAUUUGCUAUUUUAUUCAUUUCUCUUCUCUGGUGUUUUCUGUUGUGUUAAUUUCUGUGCGGUUCUUAUUAUGAAUUGUUGAGUUAAGAUGAAGAUAUAUAUAUUUGGCUCCCAGAACAUGAUAGAGUAAAGAUGCUGUUCCUAUGAUGAAUUCAUUUGAAGCUUUACUGCUCUGUGACCUGUGACCUGUGUGUGUUUGUUUUACACUGACAGAUGUUCAUAUGAUGAAGAACAACAAUAAGCAGGGUGUGUUCAUCGCUGCCGCUAUAGGAACUCUGACGCUGAUGGCUGUGGUUUACUGCAUCUACAACCAGUUCUACACCAAAAACAUUUACUCACACGCUCAGCUGCAUGAAUCAGAUAUCGCUCUGGAUCUGAGCAGCUCGUCCUCGUCGGUGUUUUCUGGUUAUGUGAUGGAGGGAUGGAUGCACCAGAGGAUGGAGAAAGGAGGAGGGAGUUAUGGCUCUCUGUCUGACACUCCUUCAAUUAUCACGCUCCCUCGUCCUCUUUCACCUCCUCAGCGUGCGUCUCCCUUUCACUCGCUCUCUCUGUCCAGACCGCCGCCUCUGAGGACUAUUUCAGCGCAGGAUCUGGAGAAGAGCUUCCUCUGAGACUGUGUCUGUGUCUGUGUGUGUGUGGUUGCAGGGGAUUGUGGGUCAGUUUACAGCUGUAUGCUGAAGUGAUGUGGCUCCUGACACCUUAUACGGCUUGCAAACACUCAAACCUGACCUUUAACCUCUCCAGAUCUGAACGCAGGGUUGCUGUUAAUAUGCUUGAUGUCACAAUCUUUAAAUAAUUAAUCAUCAGAAUGUUCUGUUCUGUUCUCUCUAGCGUGUUCUAUUCAUUUCUUUUAGCUCUGUUGUUUUCUAUUCAUUUUCUUUUCUUUUAAUAUGCAGAAUGUAACAUUGCUUACAUAUUUUGUGAUUUUUAAUGUUCUCUGUUUUAUUAUUUUUACUUUUAUUUAAUAUAGUAGUCUAUUCUGUUCAUUCUUCCUUGUUCUAUUCUGUUUCAUUUGCUAUUAAUAUGCAGAAUAUAACAUUCCUUAAAGAUUAGAUUAGAAUAUUAUAUUCUAUUCUUUAAAGAUUUGGUUAUUAGAAUAGUAUGAACUAGAAUGGAAUGGAAAUUUCAAAACAAAUGAAAAAAGAAAAAACCCCGGGUUAAUGCAUUUGGUAUCAUGAACUAACAGUAAACAGUUAUUUUAUAGUACUUAAUAAAACUUACUGUUAAUUUCA